GACGAACGCUGGCGGCGUGCCUAAUACAUGCAAGUCGAGCGGACUUGACAGAGCUUGCUCUGUUCAAGUUAGCGGCGGACGGGUGAGUAAUGCCUAGGAAUCUGCCUGGUAGUGGGGGACAACGUUUCGAAAGGAACGCUAAUACCGCAUACGUCCUACGGGAGAAAGCAGGGGACCUUCGGGCCUUGCGCUAUCAGAUGAGCCUAGGUCGGAUUAGCUAGUUGGUGAGGUAAUGGCUCACCAAGGCGACGAUCCGUAACUGGUCUGAGAGGAUGAUCAGUCACACUGGAACUGAGACACGGUCCAGACUCCUACGGGAGGCAGCAGUGGGGAAUAUUGGACAAUGGGCGAAAGCCUGAUCCAGCCAUGCCGCGUGUGUGAAGAAGGUCUUCGGAUUGUAAAGCACUUUAAGUUGGGAGGAAGGGCAGUAAGUUAAUACCUCGCUGUUUUGACGUUACCGACAGAAUAAGCACCGGCUAACUCUGUGCCAGCCGCCGCCGUAACAC
rnacentral:rRNA from 1 species